UUACUGGUUGUUCCUGAGACCCUGUUAUCCAUCCCACCUGGAAAACAAGUGGAGUGCUCUGUCACUGGUGGGAAUCCCACAGAGAAAGCCUCCUCCCUUCAGAAAUCUCCCAAGGGAAUAAAUUCCCUGGAAAAGGAUUCAUUUGACUCCCACACCAACCCUGCUGUUGCUGAGGAGAAGACUACGUAAACGAUCUCCAGCCGCUGCUCACUAGGUCAAGCCACUGUUGCCAUCCAGGCAGUAAAUUGUGUGGAGCCUUGAAGCCACUCUCAACUCCUCCAGCUUUUAAGUCUCAAGUUAGUUUAAAAUUUCAAGAAUGUGAGUUAAGAUCGUUUCACUCCUCUGCUACAGCAGUCCCAGAGUGUAACCGAAGUGAAGAACUCUGAAAUAUUACACGCAGAACCCACAGCUACCUGUGACGAAGGUGCUGAGAAACGGCUUUGGGAGCGUUAAACGCACAUGUUAAGCACUGAUGGAGAACUGCAACCCUGAGGAGACAGGAAGAGCGAAGAAACCAAAAUCGAGUCCUAACUCGGACUGUCGAGUCUACACACUUUUAAAUCUGGUGAAGGGUGCUAAUUUCUCUCUUAUUAGACGUGGUCCAAAUCUGUGGUCAAGACAAAUCAAAUUCUCUAAGUAGGUAUAGAAUAAGUCAACUGAAUCAUCAAAAUAACAUAUUUAAAUUUCAAAAUGUCAGAUGGAUGACACCCAGCUAGGCACAGGGACAGACUGUUUGCCGCCAACAAACAGACACUGUCCACAGAACAAAAAUUAUUCCUCAAACAGCCACCCAGAUCCAAAAGCCAUGCAUCCAGACAAUCACCCUUCUAAUUUAAUAGGUUUUGCAAAACUAUGUGGAAGUUGUCACUUUAUAAAGAACUCCAUCUGGUUAUUUUUACAGAAGAAAAAAAAUAUGUAAAUAUACCUUUUGCUCUUCGUUAAAUUUUUGAGAUACCUGUGAGUUAAAAACAGUGCAAUUUGAAGGCGGGUCCAGGAAAGCGCUGCGCGCAUGCGCCUGGAGAAGCCGGCCGGAGAGAAGAAAGGCGCCUAACCCUUAGUGCUUCCUUCAGAACAAUGGUUCGAUUCGUGGACUAUACUUCAAGUCAGUGUGGGAAAUACUGCUCAUCUGUGCCAGAGGAAGGAGGAGCAGCCCACGUCUACCAUUAUCACAGAAGGAAGCCUCCA